UGGUGGGGUGAUUUGUCUGGUUAAUUCCGAUAACGGACGAGACUCUGUCCUGCUAACUAGGUUGUGUUUUCUCGGGUUGGUGUUUCUGGUGUUCCUUCUCGGGGCGCCGGCCCAAUCCACUUGUGAACACAACACUCUUCUUAGAGGGACUGGCGGCUGUUAGCCGCACGAGAUAGAGCAAUAACA
rnacentral:rRNA from 1 species